rnacentral:lncRNA from 1 species
GAACUCUUCAUCAUAUCCUUUGCAAAAUGCACACAGAGUUGGUGUUUGAAUGCCCAUGAUCUGCAGUCUCUCGAUGGUAGGUAACUUCUGAUGAGCAACCAACCAUACAAUAAAUCUAUGUCUUGGAAGUGCAGAUGAUACAAGCAUUACAUUCCUCCAUAGAAACUUUGGAAAUAUAGGAAGAAGAGCAGUAUAGAGUUUAUGAAUUUGGAACUUUCCAAACGUACAAACANNN